AUUGAACGCUGGCGGCAUGCCUUACACAUGCAAGUCGGGCGGCAGCACAGAGAACCUUGCUUCCUGGGUUUCGCGUCGCACACGGGUGUGUCAUAUAUCGGAACGUACUGUGAAACUGGGGUUACUUAAUCGAAAGAUUAGUAAAUACGGCAAAUUCUUUGAGCAGGAAAGCUGAGGACUUUCGGGCCUUGUGUCUUUCGCUUGGCCGUUAAUUCAUUAGCUAGUUGGUAGGGUAAAGGCUUACCAAGGCAACGAUCAAUAGCGGGUCUGAGAGGAUGAUCGGCCACACUGGAACUGAGACACGGUCCAGACUCCUACGGGAGGCAGCAGUAGGGAAUUUUCGACAAUGGGCGCAAGCCUGACGGAGCCAUGCCGCGUGACUGAAGAAGGUCUUCGGAUUGUAAAAGUCUUUUAUUAGGGAAGAAAAGACGUGUGCUAAUAUCGACAGCUGAUGACGGUACCUAAAGAAAAAGCACCGGCUAACUACGUG
rnacentral:rRNA from 1 species